rnacentral:rRNA from 1 species
UACGGCGAGUGACCAGGGAAAAGCCCAGCACCGAAGACUGUGGCCAGUUGGCUACUAGUCAAUGUGGUGUUUAGGUUGUUCCGGCGGAGUCGCUGCCCCACCCUAAGUCCAUGAAUGAGUAUGGUAAAUGGACAUGGCCCACAGAGGGUGACAGGCCCGUGGGGGUGGGGAGCAGGCAGGCCAGCGACGCCCUGGAUAAACCUUGGAGUCGGGUUGUUUGUGAUUGCAGCCCAAAGUGGGUGGUAAACUCCAUCCAAGGCUAAAUACCAGCACGAGUCCGAUAGCAAACAAGUACCGUGAGGGAAAGUUGAAAAGUACUUUGAAGAGAGAGUAAACAGUGCGUGAAACCGAUCAGAGGUAAACGGGUGGAGUUGAACUGCAAGCUCUGAGAAUUCAGCUGGUGAGUGUGGUUUGAGCUUGGUCAAGUCAGUUGGACUUUGUGGUCUGCGAGGCACUUAGCAAGUGUUGUGGGCCAUAGAGUUCUUCGGACUGGCUCACCUGUGCACUUUCUCAGAGUGGUCACCACGACCGGCAUUGCUGUCUGGCUGAUGGGGUUAAACCGGUUUUGCAUGGUCCUUGUGGCUCUGCUUGAUC